AUUGAACGCUGGCGGCAGGCCUAACACAUGCAAGUCGAACGAGUGGCGGACGGGUGAGUAAUGUCUGGGCAACUGCCUGACGGAGGGGGAUAACUACUGGAAACGGUAGAUAAUAACGCAUAACAUCAGAUGGGCACAGAUGGGAUUAGCUAGUUGGUGGGGUAACGGCUCACCAAGGCGACGAUACCUAGCUGGUCUGAGAGGAUGACCGUCCAUCCGGGAACUGAGACACGGUCCAGACUCCUACGGGAGGCAGCAGUGGGGAAUAUUGGACAAUGGGCGCAAGCCUGAUGCAGCCAUGCCGCGUGUAUGAAGAAGGCCUUCGGGUUGUAAAGUACUGUCAGCGGGGAGGCGUUACCCGCAGAAGAAGCACCGGCUAACUCCGUGCCAGCAGCCGCGGUAAUAC
rnacentral:rRNA from 1 species